UACGUAGGGUCCGAGCGUUGCCCGGAAUUACUGGGCGUAAAGAGCUCGUAGGUGGUUUGUCGCGUUGUUCGUGAAAACUCACAGCUCAACUGUGGGCGUGCGGGCGAUACGGGCAGACUUGAGUACUGCAGGGGAGACUGGAAUUCCUGGUGUAGCGGUGGAAUGCGCAGAUAUCAGGAGGAACACCGGUGGCGAAGGCGGGUCUCUGGGCAAGUAACUGACGCUGAGGAGCGAAAAGCGUGGGGGAGCGAACAGG
rnacentral:rRNA from 1 species